rfam:Picea glauca, whole genome shotgun sequence.
UGCAACAACAGUAGCUGCAUGUCAGACUGUGUGGAUGAGAAGGAUUAUGAAGGAGUUGUUGCAUGAACAACA